rnacentral:rRNA from 1 species
ACUCCUACGGGAGGCAGCAGUGGGGAAUAUUGCACAAUGGGCGCAAGCCUGAUGCAGCCAUGCCGCGUGUGUGAAGAAGGCCUUCGGGUUGUAAAGCACUUUCAGUCGUGAGGAAGGUAGUGUAGUUAAUAGCUGCAUUAUUUGUACGUUAGCGACAGAAGAAGCACCGGCUAACUCCGUGCCAGCAGCCGCGGUAAUACGGAGGGUGCGAGCGUUAAUCGGAAUUACUGGGCGUAAAGCGCAUGCAGGUGGUUGUUAAGUCAGAUGUGAAAGCCCGGGGCUCAACCUCGGAAUAGCAUUUGAAACUGGCAGACUAGAGUACUGUAGAGGGGGUAGAAUUUCAGGUGUAGCGGUGAAAUGCGUAGAGAUCUGAAGGAUACCGGUGCGAAGGCGGCCCCUGGACAGAUACUGACACUCAGAUGCGAAAGCGUGGGAGCAAACGAGGAUUAGAUACCCCGUGGUAGACUGUCAG